GGUUAAGCGACUAAGCGUACACGGUGGAUGCCCUGGCAGUCAGAGGCGAUGAAGGACGUGCUAAUCUGCGAUAAGCGUCGGUAAGGUGAUAUGAACCGUUAUAACCGGCGAUUUCCGAAUGGGGAAACCCAGUGUGAUUCGUCACACUAUCAUUAACUGAAUCCAUAGGUUAAUGAGGCGAACCGGGGGAACUGAAACAUCUAAGUACCCCGAGGAAAAGAAAUCAACCGAGAUUCCCCCAGUAGCGGCGAGCGAACGGGGAGCAGCCCAGAGCCUGAAUCAGUGUGUGUGUUAGUGGAAGCGUCUGGAAAGGCGCGCGAUACAGGGUGACAGCCCCGUACACAAAAAUGCACAUAUUGUGAGCUCGAUGAGUAGGGCGGGACACGUGGUAUCCUGUCUGAAUAUGGGGGGACCAUCCUCCAAGGCUAAAUACUCCUGACUGACCGAUAGUGAACCAGUACCGUGAGGGAAAGGCGAAAAGAACCCCGGCGAGGGGAGUGAAAAAGAACCUGAAACCGUGUACGUACAAGCAGUGGGAGCACGCUUAGGCGUGUGACUGCGUACCUUUUGUAUAAUGGGUCAGCGACUUAUAUUCUGUAGCAAGGUUAACCGAAUAGGGGAGCCGAAGGGAAACCGAGUCUUAACUGGGCGUUAAGUUGCAGGGUAUAGACCCGAAACCCGGUGAUCUAGCCAUGGGCAGGUUGAAGGUUGGGUAACACUAACUGGAGGACCGAACCGACUAAUGUUGAAAAAUUAGCGGAUGACUUGUGGCUGGGGGUGAAAGGCCAAUCAAACCGGGAGAUAGCUGGUUCUCCCCGAAAGCUAUUUAGGUAGCGCCUCGUGAAUUCAUCUCCGGGGGUAGAGCACUGUUUCGGCAAGGGGGUCAUCCCGACUUACCAACCCGAUGCAAACUGCGAAUACCGGAGAAUGUUAUCACGGGAGACACACGGCGGGUGCUAACGUCCGUCGUGAAGAGGGAAACAACCCAGACCGCCAGCUAAGGUCCCAAAGUCAUGGUUAAGUGGGAAACGAUGUGGGAAGGCCCAGACAGCCAGGAUGUUGGCUUAGAAGCAGCCAUCAUUUAAAGAAAGCGUAAUAGCUCACUGGUCGAGUCGGCCUGCGCGGAAGAUGUAACGGGGCUAAACCAUGCACCGAAGCUGCGGCAGCGACGCUUAUGCGUUGUUGGGUAGGGGAGCGUUCUGUAAGCCUGUGAAGGUGUGCUGUGAGGCAUGCUGGAGGUAUCAGAAGUGCGAAUGCUGAUAUAAGUAACGAUAAAGCGGGUGAAAAGCCCGCUCGCCGGAAGACCAAGGGUUCCUGUCCAACGUUAAUCGGGGCAGGGUGAGUCGACCCCUAAGGCGAGGCCGAAAGGCGUAGUCGAUGGGAAACAGGUUAAUAUUCCUGUACUUGGUGUUACUGCGAAGGGGGGACGGAGAAGGCUAUGUUGGCCGGGCGACGGUUGUCCCGGUUUAAGCGUGUAGGCUGGUUUUCCAGGCAAAUCCGGAAAAUCAAGGCUGAGGCGUGAUGACGAGGCACUACGGUGCUGAAGCAACAAAUGCCCUGCUUCCAGGAAAAGCCUCUAAGCAUCAGGUAACAUCAAAUCGUACCCCAAACCGACACAGGUGGUCAGGUAGAGAAUACCAAGGCGCUUGAGAGAACUCGGGUGAAGGAACUAGGCAAAAUGGUGCCGUAACUUCGGGAGAAGGCACGCUGAUAUGUAGGUGAAGCGACUUGCUCGUGGAGCUGAAAUCAGUCGAAGAUACCAGCUGGCUGCAACUGUUUAUUAAAAACACAGCACUGUGCAAACACGAAAGUGGACGUAUACGGUGUGACGCCUGCCCGGUGCCGGAAGGUUAAUUGAUGGGGUCAGCGCAAGCGAAGCUCUUGAUCGAAGCCCCGGUAAACGGCGGCCGUAACUAUAACGGUCCUAAGGUAGCGAAAUUCCUUGUCGGGUAAGUUCCGACCUGCACGAAUGGCGUAAUGAUGGCCAGGCUGUCUCCACCCGAGACUCAGUGAAAUUGAACUCGCUGUGAAGAUGCAGUGUACCCGCGGCAAGACGGAAAGACCCCGUGAACCUUUACUAUAGCUUGACACUGAACAUUGAGCCUUGAUGUGUAGGAUAGGUGGGAGGCUUUGAAGUGUGGACGCCAGUCUGCAUGGAGCCGACCUUGAAAUACCACCCUUUAAUGUUUGAUGUUCUAACGUUGACCCGUGAUCCGGGUUGCGGACAGUGUCUGGUGGGUAGUUUGACUGGGGCGGUCUCCUCCUAAAGAGUAACGGAGGAGCACGAAGGUUGGCUAAUCCUGGUCGGACAUCAGGAGGUUAGUGCAAUGGCAUAAGCCAGCUUGACUGCGAGCGUGACGGCGCGAGCAGGUGCGAAAGCAGGUCAUAGUGAUCCGGUGGUUCUGAAUGGAAGGGCCAUCGCUCAACGGAUAAAAGGUACUCCGGGGAUAACAGGCUGAUACCGCCCAAGAGUUCAUAUCGACGGCGGUGUUUGGCACCUCGAUGUCGGCUCAUCACAUCCUGGGGCUGAAGUAGGUCCCAAGGGUAUGGCUGUUCGCCAUUUAAAGUGGUACGCGAGCUGGGUUUAGAACGUCGUGAGACAGUUCGGUCCCUAUCUGCCGUGGGCGCUGGAGAACUGAGGGGGGCUGCUCCUAGUACGAGAGGACCGGAGUGGACGCAUCACUGGUGUUCGGGUUGUCAUGCCAAUGGCACUGCCCGGUAGCUAAAUGCGGAAGAGAUAAGUGCUGAAAGCAUCUAAGCACGAAACUUGCCCCGAGAUGAGUUCUCCCUGACUCCUUGAGAGUCCUGAAGGAACGUUGAAGACGACGACGUUGAUAGGCCGGGUGUGUAAGCGCAGCGAUGCGUUGAGCUAACCGGUACUAAUGAACCGUGAGGCUUAACCUU
rnacentral:rRNA from 1 species